rnacentral:sRNA from 1 species
UUAACAAGAUAUCUGGUUGAAAAAUGGAUCCAUUCAAAGACUGAGCUUAUUUUGGGCAAUCAGUACCCUGCACAUGGCUUUGUGUGUAGAGUCGUGGUUCUCACCUGAUUGGUAGAGAAACAAGAAUCAACCCAAGAUUAUCCGGCUGAUUGAUAGAGAAAGAAGAAUAAACCCCAGAUUAUCCUGUGGGUGAAGAAAAAACGAGUUGAAACAGAAGCAACAGUAAGAUACUGAUAUUGAGUCAGAGAGAGAAAUGAUGAACUGGAUCUCAUUACAAAGAGGUCUACGAAUACAUUUAGACAAUAACUGAAGUGAAUGGUAACAGAAUAACUGGAUUUCAACAGUGCAAACAAAUGCAAAAAAAAAUAUAUAGAGGA